rnacentral:rRNA from 1 species
GAGGAAGGUGGGGAUGACGUCAAGUCCUCAUGGCCCUUAUGGGUAGGGCUUCACACGUAAUACAAUGGCGCGUACAGAGGGUUGCCAAGCAGCGAUGCGGAGCCAAUCCCAGAAAGCGCGUCGUAGUCCGGAUUGCAGUCUGCAACUCGACUGCAUGAAGUCGGAAUCGCUAGUAAUCGCGCAUCAGCCAUGGCGCGGUGAAUACGUUCCCGGGCCUUGUACACACCGCCCGUCAAGCCAUGGAAGCUGGGGGCGCCUGAAGUCGGUAACCGCAAGGAACUGCCUAGGGCGAAACCAGUGACUGGGGCUAAGUCGUAACAAGGUAGCCGUAA